CGGCUGUGUUCAACAGGAUUAUCCGCCAUGCGGAUAGCACUCUCAUUAUCACAUAGGAGUGGGACUUUGCUCAGAUUGUAGCCAAAGUCUCGGAGGGUUUGCCUCAUCCAAAGUAGUUGUGCGCAACACUGUCCUGCGGCAACAUACUCGGCCUCAGCGGUGGAUAGGGCAACGAAAGUUUGUUUCUUAGAACUCCACGACACCAGGGACCUUCCUAAGAAUUGACACGUCCCCGAUGUACUCUUCCUAUCGACCUUACAUCUAGCAUAGUCGGAGUCUGAAUAUCCAAUCAAGUCAAAGGUAGACCCCUUUGGAUACCAUAUCCCGAAGCAAGGCGUAGCGACUAAAUAUCUAAGAAUUCGCUUCACAGCCACUAAGUGACAUUCCUUUGGAUCGAAUUGAAAUCUAGCACACAUGCAUACACUAAGCAUAAUAUCCGGUCUACUAGCACAUAAACAAAGUAAAGAUCCUAUCAUAGACCGGUAUGCCUUUUGAUCAACGGACUUACCUCCUUUGUUGAGGUCUGUGUGCCCGUCGGUUCCCAUUGGAGUCUUUGCGGGCUUGGCGUCCUUCAUCCCAAACCGCUUGAUCAAGUCUUGCGUGUACUUUGUUUGGGAGAUGAAGGUCCCAUCCUUGAGUUGCUUCACUUGGAACCCAAGAAAAUAGCUUAGCUCGCCCAUCAUCGACAUCUCAAACUUUUGAGUCAUCACCCUGCUAAACUCUUCACAAGACUUUUGGUUAGUAGAACCAAAUAUUAUGUCAUCAACAUAAAUUUGGCACACAAAAAGGUCACCAUCACAAGUCUUAGUAAAAAGAGUUGGAUCGGCUUUCCCAACCUUAAAAGCAUUAGAAAUUAAAAAGUCUCUAAGGCAUUCAUACCAUGCUCUUGGGGCUUGCUUAAGUCCAUAGAGCGCCUUAGAGAGCUUACAGACGUGGUCGGGGUACCGUUCAUCCUUGAAGCCAGGGGGUUGCUCCACGUACACCUCCUCCUUGAUUGACCCGUUGAGGAAAGCGCUCUUCACAUCCAUUUGGAACAACCUGAAAGAAUGGUGAGCGGCAUAUGCUACAAAAUACGAAUGGACUCUAGCCUAGCCACAGGAGCAAAAGUCUCCUCAAAGUCCAAACCUGCGACUUGGGCAUAACCUUUUGCCAUAAGUCGUGCCUUGUUCCUUGUCACC
rnacentral:lncRNA from 1 species